GACGAACGCUGGCGGCGUGCUUAACACAUGCAAGUCGAACGGAAAGGCCCUGCUUUUGUGGGGUGCUCGAGUGGCGAACGGGUGAGUAACACGUGAGUAACCUGCCCUUGACUUUGGGAUAACUUCAGGAAACUGGGGCUAAUACCGGAUAGGAGCUCCUGCUGCAUGGUGGGGGUUGGAAAGUUUCGGCGGUUGGGGAUGGACUCGCGGCUUAUCAGCUUGUUGGUGGGGUAGUGGCUUACCAAGGCUUUGACGGGUAGCCGGCCUGAGAGGGUGACCGGACACAUUGGGACUGAGAUACGGCCCAGACUCCUACGGGAGGCAGCAGUGGGGAAUAUUGCACAAUGGGCGGAAGCCUGAUGCAGCAACGCCGCGUGCGGGAUGACGGCCUUCGGGUUGUAAACCGCUUUCGCCUGAGACGAAGCGUGAGUGACGGUAAUGGGUAAAGAAGCACCGGCUAACUACGUG
rnacentral:rRNA from 1 species